CUCGGUCCUGCUCGCUCUUGUCGCAGCGCUGUUUCUGCCUCUCUGUCAGUCAGCAGCCCCAUCCUGUAAUGCAUUUAGCAGCUGUGGGUUCUUUAUGACCCGAGAUCUGCGAGGACCUCACAGCAGCAAAUUCCGUGUCGCGCAGAAUAAUGUCACUGCAAUCAAUAAUUGCGUAAAGCUAUAUUCAACUGCAUCUCAAGUAGAAGCAUCUUCUAUGCUCCUGAUUGCUAGUGACCCAACACUUGAAUCUUCACCUCUUAGGCAAAGCCAGCUGGAAGCAGCUAGAAUUCUAAGGGUUGCAGUCACUCAGGAAGAGAAAUCACGUUUAAGAAUUCCAGGCAACCUCUCUGCAUUCCUCAUGGGUGGCAGCUAUCACUUGGAGGCAAGCUCCAUUAAAGGUUUGGGAUUUUUCUUUUCCUUACACUCAUCAGUUGCUAUUUUCAUUUGCAAAAACAUGCAUUUUGAAGUUGGCUAGACCACAAGCUGCAUUUGCACAUUCAGUUACCAUUAUUAAGCAGACUCCAUUUUUAUAUAGGAAGCAUUGACAUCCUGACUUCCCAGAGGAUAUUCCCAGGAAAGUGUCUGCUUGGUACAAACUGGUCAAAUCAUUGAUAAGUUUUCCAGCAAAGUUGUGUUACAAGAGUUAUUUAGUAUUCACACUAGUUUGAUAACCAGCAUAAAUUUAAAUAAACCAUUUAAAAUACCCCA
rnacentral:lncRNA from 1 species